rnacentral:rRNA from 1 species
GCCCUUGGGGGGGUGCUUAUACAUGCAAGUCGAGCGAAUGAAGAGGAGCUUGCUCCUCUGAUUUAGCGGCGGACGGGUGAGUAACACGUGGGUAAUCUGCCUGUAAGACGGGGAUAACUCCGGGAAACCGGGGCUAAUACCGGAUAAUAAGAGAAGAAGCAUUUCUUCUUUUUGAAAGUCGGUUUCGGCUGACACUUACAGAUGAGCCCGCGGCGCAUUAGCUAGUUGGUGAGGUAACGGCUCACCAAGGCGACGAUGCGUAGCCGACCUGAGAGGGUGAUCGGCCACACUGGGACUGAGACACGGCCCAGACUCCUACGGGAGGCAGCAGUAGGGAAUCUUCGGCAAUGGGCGAAAGCCUGACCGAGCAACGCCGCGUGAGCGAUGAAGGCCUUCGGGUCGUAAAGCUCUGUUGUUAGAGAAGAACAAGUACGAGAGUAACUGCUCGUACCUUGACGGUACCUAACCAGAAAGCCACGGCUAACUACGUGCCAGCAGCCGCGGUAAUACGUAGGUGGCAAGCGUUAUCCGGAAUUAUUGGGCGUAAAGCGCGCGCAGGCGGUCUCUUAAGUCUGAUGUGAAAGCCCACGGCUCAACCGUGGAGGGUCAUUGGAAACUGGGAGACUUGAGUGCAGGAGAGAAAAGUGGAAUUCCACGUGUAGCGGUGAAAUGCGUAGAGAUGUGGAGGAACACCAGUGGCGAAGGCGGCUUUUUGGCCUGUAACUGACGCUGAGGCGCGAAAGCGUGGGGAGCAAACAGGAUUAGAUACCCUGGUAGUCCACGCCGUAAACGAUGAGUGCUAGGUGUUGGGGGGGUUCCACCCUCAGUGCUGAAGUUAACACAUUUAAGCACUCCGCCUGGGGGAGUACGACCGCAAGGUUGAAACUCAAAGGAAUUGACGGGGGCCCGCACAAGCAGUGAAGCAUGUGGUUUAAUUCGAAGCAACGCGAGAACCUUACAGGUCUUGACAUCCCUCUGGACCACCUCUAGAGGAUAAGAGCUUUUCCCCUUUCGGGGGGAACAGAAGUGGAACUAGGGUGUGUGCCAAUGGGUUUGUUCGUUC